rnacentral:lncRNA from 7 species
ACGGAGCGGCCCGGGCAGGGGGCGGUGGUGAGUGUAUGGAUGACACUGAUGUGUGAAUUUCUCAGCAAAGGCAGACUAACCUUCUCACUACAGAAUGAGCUGCUCUUCUUGACUGUGGAAGGUGCUUCUCUCUGACUGACAUGAGGUUUCAGAGUGGCCCUGCCUCCAGGCCUCGGGGCUGAAGCUGACUUAAUGCAAUGAAAAGUUUUCCUCUGCUCCUCCAUAAGGUGACUACAGAGAGGGAAAUAAAGCUCAAAUAUACAAAGUUCCUGAAAACGUAAGUUCUCUGAGGAAACACAUCUUCCAUGGGGAUAUUUGAAGGUGCUGGGACCUGAAGGAGUCUUCUGGUUGUGUCGAUCUUUGUGAGAAGCUCUUUCUGCCUAUUCACCCUUCAACUGUGUCAGGACACCUUUGUGGUGGCACAGUGAAGGUGGCUGCCCACUCUAAGGCUGUUGUAGCAAACUUCAGAAGUCCUGAGGAUGCACCAAUGGAGAGUUUGCACCCACAAACAGGUACCAUCUCCGCAGCUGGUUCUUUCCCAAGUCUCUCUCUCUCAGCAUCCCUGUUUUUCAUCUUGUGCAUGGGAAUUGAACAAAGUCCAAAUCGGUUUUUGGAACAAUCCUAAAUCAGGGAUACUGUGAAGACAAAUGGUAAAUGUCUGUUACCCCAGCUGCUAAGUUAAUUACUGUAAUGGGAAACAUCUUGAGAGAAGCAUUGCAUAUGGUUAUUAGCAAUUAACCCACCACUCCAAAAAUCACAAUUCCUGCUAAUAACAGAACACAGCACAGCCUUUCUAAUUACGGUCUCUGCAUGAGAAUUUCUUCCAAUCAGAAGGGAAUGUUCAAUCCUGGAACUAACUACGAUUUAAAAAGGCUUGGAGAUAUUGAGGAUUGGGCAGAAAAAUGGAAAUGGCGUAGGGUGGUGUGACUCAAAGCUGUAGACAUGCUCAUUCACACAUUCACACUUGGGGAGACGCAGCAACGUUCACAAUGUCUUUGAAGGAAAAUAAUCAUCAAUGAAUGUUAAUGGAGAGAGAAAUACACUUUAGAAUGAAGAAGAGACUCCACGAGAGAUGCCAACUUCUCUGCAGAACUCGUGAUCUCCACUCUGUUGUAAACAAUACGCCGUUCAAUAAUGCUUAGCAAAGGGUUGCACCUGAAACUGUAAGAAGAAUGUCCUGAUCAAUGAAAGAGGAGAAUAAUAGAAAUUACUUAUUUUCCGUCUGUCAGAAAGUCCUGCAGUGCUCCAUGAGGUGUUCUUUUUCUGACAGCUUUUAUUCUAUGCGAUUGGCUUAGAUUAUAGCUCACCUGCAGAGUCGCCCGGGGGAAGCAGGACUUUGGUUGCUCAGUUCCAAUGCUGAACAGGACAGGAUUUAAUUUGUUCCUUUCACCAGUCAGGAACAGAACUCUUUUGCCAACAUUGCUUUGGUGGUGGGCACGAUAUAGUUUGUAGGAGUCAAGCUCAAUGAUACAGUUUUGUAGCAAAUAAGUUUCAUGACUGAUUGCAUCUGGUUGGUUCUGGCGGGGUUUUGUGAUAUAAAGUAGUCACUAAUUCUGUACCCAUCACCCUUUUUCCCUGACAUUUCCCACUGCUCCCACUGUAAGAACUGGAAUAAAUGAGUCUGCUUUCAUGUCU